ACCCGGGUGGCGAAAUUGGUAGACGCGCAGUCCUCAGAAGGCUGUGCCUUCGGGCGUGCUGGUUCGAAUCCAGUUCCGGGUA
rnacentral:tRNA from 2 species